rnacentral:rRNA from 1 species
CCUACGGGUGGCAGCAGUGGGGAAUAUUGGACAAUGGGGGCAACCCUGAUCCAGCCAUGCCGCGUGUGUGAAGAAGGCCCUCGGGUUGUAAAGCACUUUCAGUGAGGAAGAACGCCUGGUGGUUAAUACCCAUCAGGAAAGACAUCACUCACAGAAGAAGCACCGGCUAACUCCGUGCCAGCAGCCGCGGUAAUACGGAGGGUGCGAGCGUUAAUCGGAAUUACUGGGCGUAAAGCGCGCGUAGGUGGCUUGAUAAGCCGGUUGUGAAAGCCCCGGGCUCAACCUGGGAACGGCAUCCGGAACUAUCAAGCUAGAGUGCAGGAGAGGAAGGUAGAAUUCCCGGUGUAGCGGUGAAAUGCGUAGAGAUCGGGAGGAAUACCAGUGGCGAAGGCGGCCUUCUGGACUGACACUGACACUGAGGUGCGAAAGCGUGGGUAGCAAACAGGAUUAGAUACCCCAGUAGUC